GCUCAGGACGAACGCUGGCGGCGCGCCUAACACAUGCAAGUCGAACGAGCGAGAGAGAGCUUGCUUUCUCGAGCGAGUGGCGAACGGGUGAGUAACGCGUGAGGAACCUGCCUCAAAGAGGGGGACAACAGUUGGAAACGACUGCUAAUACCGCAUAAGCCCACGACCCGGCAUCGGGUAGAGGGAAAAGGAGCAAUCCGCUUUGAGAUGGCCUCGCGUCCGAUUAGCUAGUUGGUGAGGUAACGGCCCACCAAGGCGACGAUCGGUAGCCGGACUGAGAGGUUGAACGGCCACAUUGGGACUGAGACACGGCCCAGACUCCUACGGGAGGCAGCAGUA
rnacentral:rRNA from 1 species